rnacentral:rRNA from 1 species
GGUGAGUAACACGUAUCCAACCUGCCGAUAACUCGGGGAUAGCCUUUCGAAAGAAAGAUUAAUACCCGAUAGUAUAGUAUUUCCGCAUGGUUUCACUAUUAAAGAAUUUCGGUUAUCGAUGGGGAUGCGUUCCAUUAGAUAGUUGGCGGGGUAACGGCCCACCAAGUCAACGAUGGAUAGGGGUUCUGAGAGGAAGGUCCCCCACAUUGGAACUGAGACACGGUCCAAACUCCUACGGGAGGCAGCAGUGAGGAAUAUUGGUCAAUGGACGAGAGUCUGAACCAGCCAAGUAGCGUGAAGGAUGACUGCCCUAUGGGUUGUAAACUUCUUUUAUACGGGAAUAAAGUGGAGUAUGCAUACUCCUUUGUAUGUACCGUAUGAAUAAGGAUCGGCUAACUCCGUGCCAGCAGCCGCGGUAAUACGGAGGAUCCGAGCGUUAUCCGGAUUUAUUGGGUUUAAAGGGAGCGUAGGCGGGUGCUUAAGUCAGUUGUGAAAGUUUGCGGCUCAACCGUAAAAUUGCAGUUGAUACUGGGCGCCUUGAGUGCAGCAUAGGUAGGCGGAAUUCGUGGUGUAGCGGUGAAAUGCUUAGAUAUCACGAAGAACUCCGAUUGCGAAGGCAGCUUACUGGACUGUAACUGACGCUGAUGCUCGAAAGUGUGGGUAUCAAACAGGAUUAGAUACCCUGGUAGUCCACACAGUAAACGAUGAAUACUCGCUGUUGGCGAUACACAGUCAGCGGCCAAGCGAAAGCAUUAAGUAUUCCACCUGGGGAGUACGCCGGCAACGGUGAAACUCAAAGGAAUUGACGGGGGCCCGCACAAGCGGAGGAACAUGUGGUUUAAUUCGAUGAUACGCGAGGAACCUUACCCGGGCUUAAAUUGCAGCGGAAUGUAGUGGAAACAUUACAGCCUUCGGGCCGCUGUGAAGGUGCUGCAUGGUUGUCGUCAGCUCGUGCCGUGAGGUGUCGGCUUAAGUGCCAUAACGAGCGCAACCCUUAUCUAUAGUUACUAUCAGGUCAUGCUGAGGACUCUAUGGAGACUGCCGUCGUAAGAUGUGAGGAAGGUGGGGAUGACGUCAAAUCAGCACGGCCCUUACGUCCGGGGCUACACACGUGUUACAAUGGGGGGUACAGAAGGCAGCUACCUGGCGACAGGAUGCUAAUCCCUAAAACCUCUCUCAGUUCGGAUUGGAGUCUGCAACCCGACUCCAU